rfam:Candidatus Stoquefichus sp. KLE1796 genomic scaffold Scaffold754, whole genome shotgun sequence.
ACAAUGAUACUCCUAUAUAGCCUUAGCUUGAGCGUUUGAAGCGUCGCACGCAAAGGAUAUAGCUGCACCGUGUAUGCAGGGGUGGAACUCCCGUGA